rnacentral:rRNA from 1 species
CGUCUAUAUACGUAUAGCAUAUCAAUAAGCGGAGGAAAAGAAACUGACUAGGAUUCCCUCAGUAACGGCGAGUGAAGCGGGAAGAGCUCAAAUUUGAAAUCUUCAAGGUUCUACCUUGACGAAUUGUAGUUUAAAGAAGUGUUUUCUGUUGGAGUUUUGGUAAAAGUUCUUUGGAAUAGGACAUCAUAGAGGGUGAGAAUCCCGUAUUUGACCAUUAUUUCCAGCUUUGUGAUACACUUUCAAAGAGUCGGAUUGUUUGGGAAUGCAGUCCAAAAUGGGUGGUAAAUUUCAUCUAAAGCUAAAUAUUGGCGAGAGACCGAUAGCGAACAAGUACCGUGAGGGAAAGAUGAAAAGAACUUUGAAAAGAGAGUUAAACAGUACGUGAAAUUGUCAAAAGGGAAGCGUUUGACACCAGUAUUGUUUUCUCGAAAAUCAAUUAAAAAUGGUGGGAUUUUGUGUUGUAUUGACUUUAUCAGCUUUCUGCACUUUUUUCCUAUCUUUUUUAAUGCACUUUUCGUUUAACAAGUCAACAUCAAUUUCUUUUGUUGUAAAAGGGUCAUUGGAAGGUGGCUUUCUUUUCGGAGAAAGUGUUUAUAGCCUUUGACUUCUGCAAUCGGAGAGAUUGAGGUCUGCAGCGUAGAUCCUUCGGGGUUAGAUGCAUUUGUGCUAAGUUAUAGCCUUUCAUAGACAACUUGUUGACUAUGAUCAGUCAUGUAGCUUACUCGCUUAUGUUAUUUUACCUACGCUUAGGAUGUUGACGAUCAGCUGAGCGCG